rnacentral:lncRNA from 1 species
CCUAUUCUAAAAUUUACAUAACCAUCAAUGUUACACAAGUGCCAACCACGUCAAAUUUCAUGCAUACGACAAAAUAUAAACACACAUUUUCUUCUUCCUCAAAUAUAAGAAAACGGAAAACCUUGCAAUGUGAAGCUUCAGAUGAUCAAGUAUUGGCACGAAAAUGGAAACCAAAACCCUGUUGAAAUGCGUUAGAGGGAAAAAGGAAAUUAGGAAGCACAAGUUCAU